UCCCAGGUGGCUCAGAUGGUAAAGUGUCUGCCUGCAACGUGGGAGACCUGGGUUUGAUCCCUGGGUUGGGAA
rfam:TPA: Bos taurus chromosome 16, whole genome shotgun sequence.